CUGAGACGGCCUCUUCGCACAAGGAGAGAGCUGCUUCCACUGCUGCUGCAUCCAAGGCCUCCACAGAGUCGUCGACCUGGGGUGAAGGAGGGAAGGACAGAGACCGAUAAGGUCCAACUCGUCUCCCAUGUAAGACACUGCAACAAGGUCCUCUUCCACUAACCCCGCCUCCUCCCCGAGCUCCACCUUUACUGCAGCAUCCGCUUCACCCUCUGCACACACACACACAGAGAAAAAGUGUGGUACGGCGGUGGCUGUCUGAACUCCAUUGGUGAGGCUUCCAAUCGAGUCUCCCUCCCCAACCUGACAUCAACACAUUGAAAAAGUUUUGGAGGUUCCGAUCUGAUCGGGCUCUUACCAGGCGGGGGCUGGCCGGGAUGAGGUUGCCCUUCUUCAGCAGUUCCGACAGGAGAGGGGAGGGCG